rnacentral:rRNA from 1 species
UACGGGGGGGGCAAGCGUUGUUCGGAAUUACUGGGCGUAAAGGGCUCGUAGGCGGCCAACUAAGUCAUACGUGAAAUCCCUCGGCUUAACCGGGGAACUGCGUCUGAUACUGGAUGGCUUGAGAUUGGGAGAGGGAUGCGGAAUUCCAGGUGUAGCGGUGAAAUGCGUAGAUAUCUGGAGGAAUACCGGUGGCGAAGGCGGCAUCCUGGACCGACAUUGACGCUGAGGCGCGAAAGCUAGGGGAGCAAACGGG